UGGGGAAUAUUGGACAAUGGGGGGCAACCCUGAUCCAGCAAUGCCGCGUGUGUGAAGAAGGUCUUCGGAUUGUAAAGCACUUUCGACGGGGACGAUGAUGACGGUACCCGUAGAAGAAGCCCCGGCUAACUUCGUGCCAGCAGCCGCGGUAAUACGAAGGGGGCUAGCGUUGCUCGGAAUGACUGGGCGUAAAGGGCGUGUAGGCGGUUUACACAGUCAGAUGUGAAAUCCCCGGGCUUAACCUGGGAGCUGCAUUUGAUACGUGUAGACUAGAGUGUGAGAGAGGGUUGUGGAAUUCCCAGUGUAGAGGUGAAAUUCGUAGAUAUUGGGAAGAACACCGGUGGCGAAGGCGGCAA
rnacentral:rRNA from 1 species